rnacentral:tRNA from 1 species
GGGUAGGUACCAAAAUGGACAAAUGGGAAGGUCUGCAAAACCUUGUUGUAUGGGUUCGAGCCCCAUCCUACCCUC